rnacentral:lncRNA from 1 species
UUUUCCAUCAGAAAAAGUUAAAAUUUCAUUUGGAGUUGAAUUUGUUUGAGCUGGAAUUGGAGCUUGAAUAUUAUCAAAAUUCCAUUCUAAAUUUCUGGAUUGAAGAUUCCAAGGAAUUCUUUUAGGAAUUUCGACACUUGAAUGAAAAGGGUUGACUUCAACCAAAAGACUUUCUUCUUUUGGAGAGGAUCUGAGAGCGCCAAUAUUGAGUUGAGUAUUCAUGAGUUUGUAAUAUAUCCUGUAUAUUACAGCAAAAGCAUUUGAUCG